AAAUAUGUCAAAUUUAAAUUAAAAAUCAAAAUUUACAGGCUUUAACAAAUAGUUUUAAGAUAGUGGUUUUCUCAACGAUAACUCAAAUAACAAUGUCAAAUAGACCCAAUGUAUCCUCCAAAAUUAGCAUCAGAAAUAAGACAAAAAAAAAAUGACCAUUCUAAAGAACUCAUUAGGAUAGCUGAAAAACAGAUUUAAGAUUAAACUGAUAUUAGAAGGGACAUAUUUGGGUUUUGUUUUGAUAUAGUGGUGAAGUAUUUGUCGAGAACACGAAUGAAGAGUGUCUAAGAUCGAAUUCAAAUGCAACAGCAAACAAUAUGCAACAAACUUUAAGAAAAACAGAUUUUGUAACCAGAUACUUACGUCCAAUGAUAUUCACAUUUCCACUUUUCACAACACCCAGACAAUAUAUAUUUGUAUUGCCCUGUAGAUAGUAUUAAAUUAAAAACUUCAGUUGUAAUCCAAGAGGCAGGAAUAAGAUAUCAGAACACUUGAGGUAAAACUUUA
rnacentral:misc_RNA from 1 species